rnacentral:rRNA from 1 species
GAAUUUGGCAGAGAUGCCUUAGUGCCUUCGGGAACUCUGAGACAGGUGCUGCAUGGCUGUCGUCAGCUCGUGUUGUGAAAUGUUGGGUUAAGUCCCGCAACGAGCGCAACCCUUAUCCUUUGUUGCCAGCGAUUCGGUCGGGAACUCAAAGGAGACUGCCGGUGAUAAACCGGAGGAAGGUGGGGAUGACGUCAAGUCAUCAUGGCCCUUACGGCCAGGGCUACACACGUGCUACAAUGGCGCAUACAAAGAGAAGCGACCUCGCGAGAGCAAGCGGACCUCAUAAAGUGCGUCGUAGUCCGGAUUGGAGUCUGCAACUCGACUCCAUGAAGUCGGAAUCGCUAGUAAUCGUAGAUCAGAAUGCUACGGUGAAUACGUUCCCGGGCCUUGUACACACCGCCCGUCACACCAUGGGAGUGGGUUGCAAAAGAAGUAGGUAGCUUAACCUUCGGGAGGGCGCUUACCACUUUGUGAUUCAUGACUGGGGUGAAGUCGUAACAAGGUAAGCGUAGCGAG